rnacentral:rRNA from 1 species
UACAGAUGGGGCAAGCGUUGUUCGGAAUUACUGGGCGUAAAGGGCGCGUAGGCGGCCUGCUAAGUCGAACGUGAAAUCCCCGGGCUCAACCCGGGAACUGCGUCCGAUACUGGCAGGCUUGAAUCCGGGAGAGGGAUGUGGAAUUCCAGGUGUAGCGGUGAAAUGCGUAGAUAUCUGGAGGAACACCGGUGGCGAAGGCGGCCCCCUGGACCGGUACUGACGCUGAGGCGCGAAAGCGUGGGUAGCAAACGGG